rnacentral:rRNA from 1 species
GACGAACGCUGGCGGCGUGCUCAACACAUGCAAGUCGAACGCAGUGGCGAACGGGUGAGUAACGCGUAAUCAACCUGCCCUUCAGAGGGGGACAACAGUUGGAAACGACUCCUAAUACCGCAUACUGAAGGAGGGGAUUGCGUCGGAUUAGCUAGUUGGGGGGGUAACGGCCCACCAAGGCGAUGAUCAGUAGCCGGUUUGAGAGGAUGAACGGCCACAUUGGGACGUAGACACGGCCCAGACGGCUACGGGAGGCAGCAGUAGGGGAGCUUCCGCAAUGGACGAAAGUCUAACGGAGCAACGCCGCGUGAGUGAAAACGGCCUUCGGGUUGUAAAGCUCUGUUAGUCGGGGCGCGGUACCGGAAUAGAAAGCCACGGCUAACUACGUGCCAGCAGCCGCGGUAAUUC